GCCGUUAAAGGUCAAUUGACCCUUUCACAGGGGUCACCUAAGCCCAUCAGAAAACAAAGACAAUUACAUAACAAUUUGUAACAGUAGCAAAACUACUGUUAGGAGGUAGCGAUGAAAAUAAUUGUAUGGUUGGGGGUCACCACAGCAUGAGGAACUGUAUUGAAGGCUCACAGCAUUAGAAAGGUUGAGAACCACUUCCAUAAGUAAAUAUAUUUAAAACGUACAGGUCAUUACUUUAUAUAUUCAGAUUGUGGUUGACUGUAAGAAACUGAAGUGUGGGAAAUAAAAUCAUAGAUAUUUUCAAAUAGCUGUGUCACUAAGUUAAAGAACGGUAGUGAAGAAGAAAUCAACACGCAACACGGAGUCUAUUGUACUAGCAGACUCACCAGCACAAAGCCAUCGGGCUCCUCCGACAUCAUUCUCUGGCUCUUUCAAAGGGCCGCAGCUGGGCUAAGUCUUCCUACCUUGCAUCUGUCUGUAGCAGGCCUCCAAGGCCAAGUCUGCUCUGGCGGAGGUGGGUUCCUGGCUUCCACAACAAGUCUACUUAUGCUUAAUGAGGGACGGAGACAGCAGAGCUGCUACCCUGUUCAGAAAGACUUUUCCUUAUUAUUUCAGAGAGCAGAAAUAUCACACCCCACUGUGCUAAGAAAUAUCGCUCAAGCGAGUUUGUGCUGUGACACAGAGAGGGACAGCAUCACAGCAAAUGGCCCAGGAGGGCCCCUGAAAUCCUCUUUUUUUCCCCUA
rnacentral:lncRNA from 1 species